AAAAUAAAUAAAAAAUAAAUAGCCUCAGCCUACCAUAGGCUAUAUGUAAGUAAUCACAGUAAACAUAAACCUCACAGCACUGACAAAUCCCAUAACACAAACACCCACAUGCAUGCACACUGCAUUAAUUUCAUGAUAAACAUAUAUCAGCUGAUAUGAUUUUGGAAUAUGGAAAUCAUGUUAAUUUGUUAUUUUCUAGAUGGGACCUACAUAUGGAAGAAGGAUGAUAAAGGGGUAUCUCGCUAUGAAAGGAGUGCAUGCAGCAGAGACACGAAUUGGAUCAGUGCUCAGAACCAUGCAUCAGCCUUACCAUGAAGCAAGACGUCAGGGUGCCCGCAAUCUCAAUCCCAUACCAUAUCAAGCUGACUACAUGGGUCACAAGGUUCAUAUGGACCAAAAUGAAAAACUGGCUAUGUUUGGGGUCACCCAUGUUUUAGCCAUUGAUUGCUUCCGCAAAAAGGUUGUUGCUUAUUCUACAAUGCCUAUAAAAAACAACCUUGCCAUCUAUGAAGAUGUUUUCAGGCCUGCAGUACUUGCCUAUGGUAUGUGGGACCAGGUGCGAGUAGAUCAUGGCAAGGAGUUUUAUUUGACGCUCUUCAUGCAGGAGCAGCUGUCAUCUCAUCGCCAUAAUCAGGAGAGAAGGCCUUAUUUACAGACUUCAUCCACAAGGAACCAUAUAGUUGAACGAGUCUGGCCUGAGGUCAACAAUUGUGUCAAUUAUCCACUGAAGACAGCCCUUCUGCAGUUGGUGGAUCAAGAGGAACUAGACAUGGACGACAACCUUGUGAGAUACUGUGUGUCCAACCUGACUGGCCAGUUGUGCCAGAUUGGUCUCACAAGGAUGGUGGACUCAUGGAAUGCUCACCGAAUUCCAGGUAAAGGUAUACCAAAUGACUUGGCUGGCAGUGGGUGUCCCAAAAAAAUCCCACAGGAGCUGUUGCCUCAUUCAGCUGAAGCAGCAGACCUUCACGGACAACAGCUGGGAUCCUCACUGACAACACAUUCUGCUUUUGGAGUUGAUCCAUUUUCAACUGAACAGGACAAACUUACAGUCGAGAAUCAGUUUGCAGAGAAAUAUUCGACAUUUCAGACUUAA
rnacentral:lncRNA from 15 species